rnacentral:rRNA from 1 species
AGUGAACGCUGGCGGUAGGCCUAACACAUGCAAGUCGAACGGCAGCACAGUAAGAGCUUGCUCUUACGGGUGGCGAGUGGCGGACGGGUGAGGAAUACAUCGGAAUCUACUUUUUCGUGGGGGAUAACGUAGGGAAACUUACGCUAAUUCCGCAUACGACCUACGGGUGAAAGCAGGGGAUCUUCGGACCUUGCGCGAUUGAAUGAGCCGAUGUCGGAUUAGCUAGUUGGCGGGGUAAAGGCCCACCAAGGCGACGAUCCGUAGCUGGUCUGAGAGGAUGAUCAGCCACACUGGAACUGAGACACGGUCCAGACUCCUACGGGAGGCAGCAGUGGGGAAUAUUGGACAAAGGGCGCAAGCCUGAUCCAGCCAUACCGCGUGGGUGAAGAAGGCCUUCGGGUUGUAAAGCCCUUUUGUUGGGAAAGAAAAGCAGCAGGUUAAUACCCCGCUGUUCUGACGGUACCCAAAGAAUAAGCACCGGCUAACUUCGUG